rnacentral:rRNA from 1 species
GACGAACGCUGGCGGCGUGCUUAACACAUGCAAGUCGAACGAAGAGCGAUGGAAGCUUGCUUCUAUCAAUCUUAGUGGCGAACGGGUGAGUAACGCGUAAUCAACCUGCCCUUCAGAGGGGGGACAACAGUUGGAAACGACUGCUAAUACCGCAUACGAUCUAAUCUCGGCAUCGAGGAUGGAUGAAAGGUGGCCUCUAUUUAUAAGCUAUCACUGAAGGAGGGGAUUGCGUCUGAUUAGCUAGUUGGAGGGGUAACGGCCCACCAAGGCGAUGAUCAGUAGCCGGUCUGAGAGGAUGAACGGCCACAUUGGGACUGAGACACGGCCCAGACUCCUACGGGAGGCAGCAGUGGGGAAUCUUCCGCAAUGGACGAAAGUCUGACGGAGCAACGCCGCGUGAGUGAUGACGGCCUUCGGGUUGUAAAGCUCUGUUAAUCGGGACGAAAGGUCUUCUUGCGAA